UCUCCAUUAUUUUCAUUGAUUUCCUUUGAUUUCCUCUUGUAUUGACCCGCAAAUCUGGUGUUUCUCUUCGCUGGCCUCUCCGCCAGAAUUCCACAACCUUUCUGGUUGGGGUGCCGGUUGAUAAAACAUAUGAGUUAUCACGAUUGCCAUUUGAACACAAAUAUAAGGAGGCUUUCACUGCAGCUCUACAAAGAAAUGAUGUGUCUAUUGUGUCUUGGCUAAGCUCCAAGGUAGUUAUUUUACUUCUCAUUGUUAUUGUUCAAUGUUCUACACGAUAUAGGAGCAAUUAGAUGAUCAUUUGCUGUUUAGAAGGUGAAUAGAUGUGAUAUGAUCAUUUAAAUGUGCUUAGCUUACCCUUACAAAUGUUGUGGAUGAGAAUUUUGGUUGAAACAAGUAUUAGGGUUUUGAACUUGUGUAGUAUUUUUUGUUAUUUUCAAGUUGAUCUACGGUGGCUAUUGUCAAAAGUUCCUCUCCCUUUGAACCAAGAAGUACUACUAUAACUUUUGCAGCAAUUAGCAUGUGAGAUCAAUAAUGACCUAGUUCGAAAACUGCUUCGAUGACAGAUGUAGCUAAUGCCAUAAUCCCAACAGACCCGAUGAUUGCAAUGCAUGUGCAUGUGCGGCUCAUAUUCGAUCAAGUGUAUAACAUACUCAACCAUAUGCGGUGCUUGCCUAAAUUUAAAAGUGAUAAGCUCUCAAGUAUCUAUCGUCUGAUGCAUGUCAUCAAUUCCAUGCGAUUGGCCUGUAAAUGAUGUAUUGUACUUGUUGUUGACAUGUUGUAAUGUAAUUUUGUUAGUAUGAAGGAAAAUGGGAUCAAAGUGUAAUUUUGGUGAUUCCACCGCGCAAUUGUGGCAAGUUGUUGGAAUAUGUUUUCUUGAUAAUUAUGGUGCUAUGAUUCAUUUUGUUGU